CAAAGAGUUUGUGCAGUUCAGACUCAGAGACUGAAGAUACUCCAAUACUGUGCAACCAGGUGGCCCAGCUUGCUGACUUGUUUUGGCAUAAACCGGGUGCUCAACCAGUGGGAUGCACAGCAGGCCAGUAUGAGGAUGUGGAGAAGCCUGACAAGGUGAAGAUGCUGGCAGAGCAUUUAACCAGCAAGAAGACAAAGUUCUUCUUCCUCUUCCAGGUUCUGAAGCCACUGGCAGAGUUCAAGGUUAUUUCAGGCUGAAGGAGUGAUGGUCCAUUGGCUACACAAGGAGAUGACCAGCCUGGUGAGAAGAUUCAUGGGAAGAUUUUUCCCUGCCAGCCUUAUUGCUGACGUCCCACUGAAGGACAUGAAGUUCAUGGAUGCCAGCCUACAGUUGCCAGACAAAGAACAGUCUCUUGGAGUAGCUGCACAAAGCCUCUGGGGGGACAACAUGGAUGAACUUUCCUCUUCUGUUCCAAUGAUGAUCCAGGCAGUGAGAGACUUCUUUGUAGCUGUGACUGCAAAGAUGAUGACCGCAUUCCCCCUCGACAACAUCAUCCUCCAAAACCUGACCGUGUUGGAUCCAGAGUCACGGCAUCAAUUUUCUCCAAACUCAGUUAUUGAGCUAGGGAAAAGUCUGCCGCAGCUGCGGUUGGACCUGGAUAGCCUUAGGGAAGAAUUAGUGGAGUACCAGGUGCUUGUUGUAUAGGAUGUUUCUGUUGAACCAUCACUACCAUCUGUUGCACAGAGCGGGUUCCCCAGUGAAUACUUUCACUCCUUCUUGAACUCAGUGGAAAUGAUCACUGUAGAAUUAACCUCGCCUGUGGAUGCUGUUAUGGCCUGCAAGCCAGAUGAGAAGAUGGUGUUGAACAAAGGCAGCUAUGACUCCACCAGCUCCAGGUUCUCUAACCCAAGUUACUCUGAGCUUUGUAGCCUCCUCCUAUUUCCUCACUCACUGCUGGGAAUCUGAAGCCCUGUGCGGCUGACACGCCUUAUGGCCCUGUUGGUACUCGGGGUGAAGGAAAAAGCACAGAACAGGAACAACUGGUACACGUGUUAUUGUUAGCUGUGCUCUUUUUAUUCCAGCUGGUGAGGGAUCCACAGCCUGUAGCAGCCUCACACACCUUUUAUCACCGUUUCCUCCUCAUGUCCUCAAAGGGCCUGUCUGCACACUGUUAUAUCAUGAGUAAUAGUUGAAAAGAAAUCUGUAUACAUAAAAUAUGUGCAUGCACACACACAACUAAAUAUGUAAUAUUUAGAAUCACUUUUAAUUUAGAUAAGGUAGUUUUUUAGCCUUAGAUACAAACAGUGAAGGGCAGAAAGUGAGACCAUUUUCAAUCACUAAGACAAGAAUUCAAAUGAACACUUAUUUGUUUCUACUUUUGCAAGCUAUAAAAUUAUAGCUCCUCUGAUGAGACUCCUCUCUCCUGUCCCCAGGACAGUAAAAAUCUUCAUGAGUGAAGACGACAUUGACUUUAGAGCUGGAAUAUAAAGUAGACCCCAAUAUUUCGCUUCACAUAAACAUCGUCAUUUAUUCCCUCUUACUGUGGCUGUUUUUCUUCCACCACGAUAAAAUCACACUUCAUGCAGAGCUCUCUCUCUGAGGAAGAGUUUCCCAUCUAAAAAUCUGUUUUCUGCAUUAUUCUCUUGCUUAUUACCCACCAGUCUAACAUUGUUUACAGCACUGUGGGACGUUAUUACUGUUCAAUGCUGAGCAAACUUUUUAAAAUGAUGCAAAAUUGCAUACUGCUUAGCUGUACUUUGCUCUGCUUCAAUUCAGCAGCAUCAGGUAAUGUUCGCUUGUUGAUUCAUGGUUUUCUCCAGUUUUUGUUCUACUGCAGAAUAUUUUUAAGGUUGUUUGUUUAAAAAAAAAAAAAACCAGGGCAGGAAAAUCUCCUUCAUGUUUUUGUGUUUUAUCCCCAGUUGACACAAAGACAUCUGCUGUGAUGUUUACACCUUUGAUAAAGUCUUGCAAGUGUCAGCUUUCUUUUUUAUAAAUAUAUAUAAAUUUAAAAAAACCUGGAGAAAUACUUAUGGGACUAUACCCCGAGCCAACUGGUCCUGAAAAAAAGCCUAAAAACACACAAGUACUUCCAACAAACAUUGCUGCCCAGGACAAUGAAACUGACGGUGUAAUAACUUCAUGCCUCAUCCCACACAUACCCGGAUCUCCCACCGGAGGACACGGCGGUCCGCCUCCUCCGGGUGGGGGCUGCCGUCUCCAUAUCCUGCAGUACCACUGGUACCUGCAGACAUGAGAACAACCAGUGAGCAAACAUGUAACUAUCACAUCAAUGUGAAUCUGAUGGGUGUGAUUUUUCCAGACUGAAGGAAGUGCAAACAGAAUGUUACAGAACUGUUAUACAGCAUGAGGGUAAUCAAUUCAAAUUACUGUCCUUUAUUUGGCAUAAUUACUGUCUAACUGACAGAAGUUAGCUCACUAGUUUCCACCUAAACAUGAUAUACCACGGUCUGACUGAGAGAUUUUUGAAAAAAAACCGUACGGCUCUACUUAUCACUUCCAACAUAAAUGAAGACCGAAAACUGCAUCAGAACAGCAAUGCAAUGCAAAAUGCCAUUAUACUGAAAAUCUGGGUGCUACUACUGCAUAGGUACUUACUUUGGCAAUUUCUUGCUUGCCGUUUUCUGAACAAACAAACAAAACGGCAGGUUAAGAAAUAAAUACUCUGGACACCUUAGAAGGUUUUUAUAUAUAUAUGUAUAAUUGGAAAAAAAAAAAACCUGGAGAAAUACUUACAGGAAUCAGGCCACGAGCCAACUGGUCCUGAAAAAAAUACAUUAAAAAAACACAUAAGUACUUCCAACAAACAUUGCUGCCCAGGACAAUGAAACUGACGGUGUAAUAACUUCAUGACUCAUCCCACACAUACCCGGACCUCCCAGUGAAGGAGGCGGCGGUCCGCCU
ensembl:lncRNA